rnacentral:snoRNA from 1 species
AAAGUAGGCUGCCAUUAUAGUACUUCAUUUUGUGGAAGUACUGUCAUUACCCUGAUGAAAGAAAAGCUGUGUUCAUCAUUUUUUAUUUUGCCUUUAUUAGGUUAAAGUCAUGACAGAUUGACAUGAACAAUU